AAACCAACAGGGAUUGCUCUAGUAACGGCGAGUGAAGCAGCAAUAGCUCAAAUUUGAAAUCUGGCGUCUUCGACGUCCGAGUUGUAAUUUGUAGAGGAUGCUUCUGAGUGGCCACCGACCUAAGUUCCUUGGAACAGGACGUCAUAGAGGGUGAGAAUCCCGUA
rnacentral:rRNA from 1 species